rnacentral:rRNA from 1 species
AUUGAACGCUGGCGGGAUGCUUACACAUGCAAGUCGAACGAGUGGCGGACGGGUGAGUAAUAUAUCGGAAAGUGCCCAGUAGGGGGGGAUAAAUACUAGAAAGAGUGCUAUACCGCAUACUAUGGGAGCGGCCGAUAUCGGAUUAGCUAGUUGGUGGGGUACAGGCUCACCAAGGCCACGAUCCGUACCUGGUUUGAGAGGACGACCAGCCACACUGGGACUGAGACACGGCCCAGACGCCUACGGGAGGCAGCAGUGGGGAAUUGUGGACAAUGGGGGCAACCCUUAUCCAGCCAGCCCGCGUGUAUGAAGAAGGCCUAGGGUUGUAAAGUACUUUCAGUCGUUAGGCGUUACCGACAGAAGAAGCACCGGCUAACUCCGUGCCAGCAGCCGCGGUAAUUC